UACGUAGGUGGCAAGCGUUAUCCGGAUUUAUUGGGCGUAAAGGGAACGCAGGCGGUCUUUUAAGUCUGAUGUGAAAGCCUUCGGCUUAACCGGAGUAAUGCAUUGGAAACUGGUAGACUUGAGUGCAGGAGAGGAGAGUGGAAUUCCAUGUGUAGCGGUGAAAUGCGUAGAUAUAUGGAGGAACACCGGUGGCGAAAGCGGCUCUCUGGCCUGUAACUGACACUGAGGCUCGAAAGCGUGGGGAGCAAACAGG
rnacentral:rRNA from 1 species